CCUACGGGCGGCAGCAGUGGGGAAUAUUGCACAAUGGGGGAAACCCUGAUGCAGCGACGCCGCGUGAGUGAAGAAGUAAUUCGUUAUGUAACGCUCUAUCAGCAGGGAAGAAAAUGACGGUACCUGAGUAAGAAGCCCCGGCUAACUACGUGCCAGCAGCCGCGGUAAUACGUAGGGGGCAAGCGUUAUCCGGAUUUACUGGGUGGAAAGGGAGCGUAGAAGGCAGUGCAAGUCUGGAGUGAAAGGCGGGGGCUCAACCCCCGGACUGCUCUGGAAACUGUACGGCUGGAGUGCAGGAGAGGUAAGUGGAAUUCCUAGUGUAGCGGUGAAAUGCGUAGAUAUUAGGAGGAACACCAGUGGCGAAGGCGGCUUACUGGACUGUAACUGACGUUGAGGCUCGAAAGCGUGGGGAGCAAACAGGAUUAGAUACCCCUGUAGUC
rnacentral:rRNA from 1 species